rnacentral:lncRNA from 1 species
CAUUUUGGGAAGCCGACGUGGGUGGAUCACCUGAGGUCAGGAGUUCGAGACCAGCCUGGCCAACAUGGUGAAACUCUGUCUCUACUAAAAUACAAAAAUUAGCCGGGCGUGGUGGCAGGGGCCUGUAAUCCCAGCUACUCAGGACGCUGAGGCAGGAGAAUCGAUUGAACCUGGGAGGCGGAGGUUGCAUUAGCCAAGAUUGCGCCAUUGCACUCCAGCCUGGGCAACAAGAGAGAAACUCCAUCUCAAAGAAAAAAAAAAGAAAGAAAGAAAAAGAAAAGAAAAGGUCUUCAUGGUCCUACGAGGAAGACUGGCUUCCAUGAAGCAAGGAACGUGGCUGACUGUCUACACUUGCGCUAACAAUAGCUCGGGAAAGAAAACACAGUUUUUGUGCAUGAUUUUCUGACCCUCACCAAACUUGGGCGGAUGGCUACGGGCAGGGUUUCUUAUAAAGCUGCUCGUUUCCCCGGGUGCCGAAAAGGAAUUCAAACAGAGGCCUUUUCUGUUCUUGUAACUUGCUGACCCACAUGGGAAGUAGCCACCCCCCCAGUACCCUGACAUUCCCACCCAGCCACCAGGCAGCAGCAGCCGCUGGGCUCUCUGACUGCAGCCCACAGCGAGAGACGAAUUUCAUGCUGUGAUCCAGAACAUACACACAAGCACCCGCACACACAGGUGCAUUUGUAUGUGUUACUUUCUCCUGGAUCCCCAGUGCCUGCCACACAGUAGCUGCUCAACAAGUAUCUACUGAGUGAGUGAGUGAAUAGAAUAAUGCGUUUGGAAAUACACGGUUGACACUAAAGUUUGAUGGGACAAUGCUCACCUUACUACGUGCCUUCUGUUGAGUUUCCCAGUCCAUUAAUGGGUCACAACUCAAAGUCUGAACAACACUGCUGUGAAGCCCCCAUCUUAAGGGGCAUGUGGAUUUAGUCCUGAGAUACAGCUUCCAGGAAUCUCAGAGUGAAACCAGACACUACACGUUAACAACUUUGUCCGUGGCACACGCCUGUAAUCCCAGCACUUUGGGAGGCUGAGGUGGGUGGAUCACUUGAGGUCAGGAGUUCGAGACCAGCCUGGCCAAAAUGGUGAAACCCCUUCUCUACUAAAAAUACAAAAAUUAGCUGGGCAUGGUGGUGCACGCCUGUAGUCUCAGCUACUUGGGAGGCUGAGGCAGGAGGAUUGCUUGAACCCAGGAGGCGGAGGUUGUAGUGAGCUGAGAUUGUGCCACUGCACUCCAGCCUGGGUGACAGCCAGACUCCAUCUAAAAAAAAAAGAAAAAAAAGAAAUAGGUAAAGGGAAUGUUGUGUCCUAACUGGAGUUCUCUGAGGGCCAAGGACCUCAGAAUUACCUUGCUCAAACAAAGCCUGAAAGAGCCAACCCUAGCUAAGGUGAAGGGUGUUCCUGCUCAGCAACCCACAGUCUCUGGGAAGACUGGAAGAGAUCUUCAAGAGUUCCUGUAACCUUGCAGUGUGAAAGCAAAGCGUGAGUGAUCCAAGGGAAAGUCCUGUGCGACCCCAGAAGUGUAGGCAGCAAGCCACCCAGGCGCUGAGGCAAGAGACCGAGGACACGAGCUGUUCCAGUAUAAUAAAAUAUAAAACAAGAAUAGUUAUACCAGAUAUAGAUCUUAGAUAUGAUUAUAUAUGAAUAUCAAUAAUCAUUAGUUUGUAGCAAUUACUCUUUAUUCCAAUAUUAUAAUAAUCCUUGCUCUAUAAUCAUAACCUAGGAAAAACCAGGCCAUACAGAGAUAGGAGCUGAGGGGACACAGUGAGAAGUGACCAGAAGAUAAGAGUGCAAGCCUUCUGUUAUGCCCAGACAGGGCCACCAGAGGGUUCCUUGGUCUAGCGGUGAUGCCAGCGUCUGGGAAGACACCCGUUGCCAGGCGGACCGUGGUCUAGCGGUAGCAAAAAGUGUCAAGGAACAACACCCGCUACUUAGCAGACCGGGAAAGGGAGGCUCCCUUUCCCCGGGGGAGUUUAGAGAAGACUCUGCUCCUCCAUCUCUUGUGGAGGGCCUGACAUUAGUCAGGCCCGCCCGCAGUUAUCCGGAGGCCUAACCAGAGUCUCCCUGUGAUGCUGUGCUUCAGUGGUCACGCUCCUAGUCCGCCUUCAUGUUCCAUCCUGUACACCUGGCUCUGCCUUCUAGAUAGCAGUAGUCAAUUAGUGAAAGUACUAAAAGUCUCUGACGUGCAGAAAUAAUGGCAUAAGCUGUCUUUCUCUCUGUCUCCUCUCCCUCUCUGCCUCGGCUGCCAGGCAGGGAAGGGCCCCCUGUCCAGUGGACACGUGACCCACGUGACCUUACCUAUCAUUGGAGAUGACUCAUACUCUUUACCCUGCCCCUUUUGCUUCGUAUCCAAUAAAUAACAGCGCAGC